UAUAAUGAUUGGGGGACUGUG
rnacentral:siRNA from 1 species